UCGAGAAUCUUCCGCAAUGGGCGAAAGCCUGACCCAGCGACGCCGCGUGGGGGAAGAAGUCUUUCGGGAUGUAAACCCUUGUUGUACGGGACGAAGGAAGUGACGGUACCGUACAAGGAAGCCCCGGCAAACUACGUGCCAGCAGCCGCGGUAAUACGUAGGGGGCGAGCGUUGUCCGGAAUCACUGGGCGUAAAGCGCACGUAGGCGGGCUGUCAAGUCGGCCGUGAAAGGCAUGGGCUCAACCUGUGCAUGUCGGUCGAUACUGGCGGUCUGGAGUAUGGGAGAGGGAACUGGAAUUCCCGGUGUAGCCGUGAAAUGCGUAGAUAUCGGGAGGAACACCAGUGGCGAAAGCGGGUUCCUGGCCCAUGACUGACGCUGAGGUGCGAAAGCCGGGGGAGCGAACG
rnacentral:rRNA from 1 species